rnacentral:rRNA from 1 species
AGCGCAGCGCGGACGCCCGAACCUGGUCAGAGCCGGAAGGCAGCAGCCAUAAGGGAUGCUUUGCGGGUGCCGUU